AAUUUCAAGCACCCCUCUCUCUCUCACCGUACUCCCAUCUUCCUCUUCUCUCUGCCACCGCCUUACUCCCUUCAACCCCGGCGGCUACUGCCGCCGCCAGCCACCACCGCCACGGUAUCCCCUCUGUAUGCCUCGCAUCUGCCUCCCUCUCGUUCCUUCUCUAAAUCAUGAAAAAUCCCCAAAAAUCCCUAGCUUCCUCCCCCAACAAUUUCCGGCGAUAUUACCGCCUGAACCACCCAUUUCUUCUUCAGUCGACAGCAGCGGUCAGCCGGACCGUCGUCGUCCUCGCCUCCCUCAUCUCUCAAGCCCCUAUAAAGAUUCGAUUUUUCCUCUUUCCCUUCCAUUUGAAAUCCCUCCAAUCCCAGCGGCGCCUGUCCUAGAACCCUAGCCUCCCUGACCCCGGCAACCGCCUCCUUCCACCCCGGCGUCCAACCGCCCUUCACCCCGGCGCAGCGCAGCCACAGCUUCUCCAUCACUUGACGGGUUUUUCUAAAGCCAAAAUCAAACACUCACAUUAGUUUGUUUGAUUUUUUGUUUCUCUGCUCGGAGGUGUUCUCUGUGCAAAAUCAGAUCAGAAAUUCAAUUGCUCAGAGGUGAUUCUAGCAACUCUGCUCGGAGGUGUUGAUCUCAGUAUUGUAGGUGCUCUUUUCUGGAAACUAUUUUGCUUCUAAUAGAAAUUUACUUUAAGAUAAAUUCCAUAAAUAUUUCCAAGUCUAUUGCAUAUUUGUCUCCUAUGAAUCGCUCUUAGGAAAAUAACGUAAUCGUUCUUCUCUUUCACUCAUCUUUAUUGUGACUGUGAGUCAUUUUCUUCGUGGUUUAUUGCAGUAUAUCAAGUUACCAGAUAAUUGUGUUAAUUGAUAAGAUAUAUCUGCUGUGAUAUGCAAUAUGUGUAAAUGAAAACAGGCACGCGAGAAAGAUAAGCAAUAACCUGAUAAUUGUGUUAAUUGAUGAGUCUUAAUAUAAACAGAAGAGUUGUUAUCCAUGUACAGAAUCUAUUUGCUUAUAUAUGCAACAGAUUUGAAUUUCAAGUGUUUAAUUUUGGCCCAGCUGACACCGGUUGUCUUGUUUUCAUAAUGCAAAUUGCUCAUUAGCUUAUCCUAUCUGCACUAUAAUAUCUUUUCCUAGACUAAGAUGAUUGUUCUUCCUUAAUUUCUUGUUAGAGGAGUUUGAAGUUGUUAUCUGACAGCCAAGUUCUGGUAUGUGUCACGUGACAAAUUGGUAUAAGAAGUUUUAUAUUGAUAGGAAACAUUAGUUCUAUAUUUCUCUACAGAAAAGGACAAGCAUUAAUUAGAUUUUAAAUAAUUUAUGUGCAUUAAUCUAUUGCUCAAUUAGCCUUGAUUACAUAUUUUCAUUAACUUGUAGGAAGAUGGCUGGUGGGAUUAGUUUCAUGACAUGUUAUGCACGAACUGAAGUCAUGCAGAACAAGUAGGUGAUAAUUUAGUGCAGAUGACCAUAACUAACAGGUGUUCAUGUAUUUUACAAUGGCUUCUGUAAACUCUUCUCUGUUUUAUUUUUCAGCCGCAGGACUUAUGGGCUUCUCUUUGAUUGGAUUUAUCCCAAUCUGCCUCACCUUCUCCCAGUCCGCCGCGCCCUUCUCCAUGGUCUGCCGUGCCUCCGUCCAGUCCCCUCAGUCCGCCGCGUCCAGUCACCUUAUUGUAGGAAUUUUGAGUCACACUCGUUUAUUUUUUAUGAUUGAUUUUCUUUGUUGUCACUUGUCCUUUUAGAGUUCUAUUUGCCUAUUGUCCUCAGACUACUUGCUCUUAUUUGUUUAUAGUUUUUUUAGUUUACACUAAUUGUUAUUGUCAAUUGAUAUAUUGUAAAUGUAGGCUUGAGAGAAGGAGAUGAAGAAACUUAAAACUACGAAAAAAAAAUAGCAGCAGCAAAAUCUUCAG
rnacentral:lncRNA from 1 species